UACGUAGGGUGCAAACGUUGUUCGGAAUUACUGGGCGUAAAGCGUGUGUAGGCUGCUCCGAUAGUCGGAUGUGGAAGCCCUGGGCUCAACCUAGGAAGUGCAUUCGAUACUCCGGAGCUCGAGUCCUGGAGAGGAAGGCGGAAUUCUCGGUGUAGAGGUGAAAUUCGUAGAUAUCGAGAGGAACACCGGUGGCGAAGGCGGCCUUCUGGACAGUGACUGACGCUGAGACACGAAAGCGUGGGGAGCAAACAGG
rnacentral:rRNA from 1 species